UACGGAGGGUGCAAGCGUUUAUCCGGAUUCACUGGGUUUAAAGGGUGCGUAGGCGGGUAGGUAAGUCCGUGGUGAAAUCUCUGAGCUUAACUCAGAAACUGCCGUGGAUACUAUUUGCCUUGAAUAUUGUGGAGGUGAGCGGAAUAUGUCAUGUAGCGGUGAAAUGCUUAGAUAUGACAUAGAACACCAAUUGCGAAGGCAGCUCACUACACAAUGAUUGACGCUGAGGCACGAAAGCGUGGGGAGCAAACAGG
rnacentral:rRNA from 1 species